AGCGAACGCUGGCGGCAGGCUUAACACAUGCAAGUCGAGCGGGCACUUUCGGGUGUCAGCGGCGGACGGGUGAGUAACGCGUGGGAACGUGCCCUCUGGUCCGGAAUAACUCAGGGAAACUUGAGCUAAUACCGGAUACGCCCUUUUGGGGAAAGGCUUGCUGCCGGAGGAUCGGCCCGCGUCUGAUUAGCUAGUUGGUGAGGUAACGGCUCACCAAGGCGACGAUCAGUAGCUGGUCUGAGAGGAUGAUCAGCCACACUGGGACUGAGACACGGCCCAGACUCCUACGGGAGGCAGCAGUGGGGAAUAUUGGACAAUGGGCGCAAGCCUGACCCAGCCAUGCCGCGUGAGUGAUGAAGGCCUUAGGGUUGUAAAGCUCUUUUAUCCGGGACGAUAAUGACGGUACCGGAGGAAUAAGCCCCGGCUAACUUCGUG
rnacentral:rRNA from 1 species